rnacentral:rRNA from 1 species
AUGUUCUAACGUUGGCCCCUAAUCGGGGUUGCGGACAGUGCCUGGUGGGUAGUUUGACUGGGGCGGUCUCCUCCCAAAGAGUAACGGAGGAGCACGAAGGUGGGCUAAUCACGGUUGGACAUCGUGAGGUUAGUGCAAUGGCAUAAGCCCGCUUAACUGCGAGAAUGACGGUUCGAGCAGGUGCGAAAGCAGGUCAUAGUGAUCCGGUGGUUCUGAAUGGAAGGGCCAUCGCUCAACGGAUAAAAGGUACUCCGGGGAUAACAGGCUGAUACCGCCCAAGAGUUCAUAUCGACGGCGGUGUUUGGCACCUCGAUGUCGGCUCAUCACAUCCUGGGGCUGAAGUCGGUCCCAAGGGUAUGGCUGUUCGCCAUUUAAAGUGGUACGCGAGCUGGGUUUAGAACGUCGUGAGACAGUUCGGUCCCUAUCUGCCGUGGGCGUUGGAAGAUUGAAGGGGGCUGCUCCUAGUACGAGAGGACCGGAGUGGACGAACCUCUGGUGUUCGGGUUGUGUCGCCAGACGCAUUGCCCGGUAGCUAAGUUCGGAAUCGAUAACCGCUGAAAGCAUCUAAGCGGGAAGCGAGCCCUGAGAUGAGUCUUCCCUGAUACUUUAAGUAUCCU